AGAGUUUGAUCCUGGCUCAGAUUGAACGCUGGCGGCAUGCCUUACACAUGCAAGUCGAACGGUAACGCGGGGCAACCUGGCGACGAGUGGCGAACGGGUGAGUAAUGUAUCGGAACGUGCCCAGUAGUGGGGGAUAGCCCGGCGAAAGCCGGAUUAAUACCGCAUACGACCUAGGGGUGAAAGAGGGGGAUCGCAAGACCUCUCGCUAUUGGAGCGGCCGAUAUCAGAUUAGGUAGUUGGUGGGGUAAAGGCCUACCAAGCCGACGAUCUGUAGCUGGUCUGAGAGGACGACCAGCCACACUGGGACUGAGACACGGCCCAGACUCCUACGGGAGGCAGCAGUGGGGAAUUUUGGACAAUGGGCGCAAGCCUGAUCCAGCCAUGCCGCGUGCGGGAAGAAGGCCUUCGGGUUGUAAACCGCUUUUGUCAGGGAAGAAAUCCCUUGGGCUAAUACCCCGGGGGGAUGACGGUACCUGAAGAAUAAGCACCGGCUAACUACGUGCCAGCAGCCGCGGUAAUACGUAGGGUGCAAGCGUUAAUCGGAAUUACUGGGCGUAAAGCGUGCGCAGGCGGUUCUAUAAGACAGAUGUGAAAUCCCCGGGCUCAACCUGGGAACUGCAUUUGUGACUGUAGAGCUGGAGUGCGGCAGAGGGGGAUGGAAUUCCGCGUAGCAGUGAAAUGCGUAGAUAUGCGGAGGAACACCGAUGGCGAAGGCAAUCCCCUGGGCCUGCACUGACGCUCAUGCACGAAAGCGUGGGGAGCAAACAGGAUUAGAUACCCUAGUAGUCC
rnacentral:rRNA from 1 species